rnacentral:rRNA from 1 species
GUGUGCCAGCAGCCGCGGUAAUACGUAGGGGGCAAGCGUUAUCCGGAUUUACUGGGUGUAAAGGGAGCGUAGGUGGCAUGGCAAGUCAGAUGUGAAAACCCAGGGCUCAACCCUGGGACUGCAUUUGAAACUGUCAGGCUGGAGUGCAGGAGAGGUAAGUGGAAUUCCUAGUGUAGCGGUGAAAUGCGUAGAUAUUAGGAGGAACACCAGUGGCGAAGGCGGCUUACUGGACUGUAACUGACACUGAGGCUCGAAAGCGUGGGGAGCAAACAGGAUUAGAUACCCUAGUAGUCCGG